rnacentral:rRNA from 1 species
AUACGUAGGUGGCAAGCGUUGUCCGGAAUUAUUGGGCGUAAAGCGCAUGUAGGCGGUUUGGUAAGUCGGUCGUGAAAAUGCGGGGCUUAACGCCGGAUGGCGAUUGAAACUGCUGAACUUGAGUGCCGGAGGGGAAGGGGAACUCCCAAGGUAGCGGUGAAAUGCGUAGAUAUUGGGAAGAACACCGGUGGCGAAGGCGCCUUUCUGGACUGUGUCUGACGCUCAGAUGCGAAAGCCAGGGUAGCGAACGGGAUUAGAUACCCCGGUAGUCCUGGCCGUAAACGAUGGGUACUAGGUGUGGGAGGUAUCGACUCCUUCCGUGCCGGAGUUAACGCAAUAAGUACCCCGCCUGGGGAGUACGGCCGCAAGGCUUAAACUCAAAUGAAUUGACGGGG